rnacentral:rRNA from 1 species
UUUGCAUAUCAAUAAGCGGAGGAAAAGAAACCAACAGGGAUUGCCUCAGUAGCGGCGAGUGAAGCGGCAAGAGCUCAGAUUUGAAAUCGUGCUUUGCGGCACGAGUUGUAGAUUGCAGGUUGGAGUCUGUGUGGAAGGCGGUGUCCAAGUCCCUUGGAACAGGGCGCCCAGGAGGGUGAGAGCCCCGUGGGAUGCCGGCGGAAGCAGUGAGGCCCUUCUGACGAGUCGAGUUGUUUGGGAAUGCAGCUCCAAGCGGGUGGUAAAUUCCAUCUAAGGCUAAAUACUGGCGAGAGACCGAUAGCGAACAAGUACUGUGAAGGAAAGAUGAAAAGCACUUUGAAAAGAGAGUGAAACAGCACGUGAAAUUGUUGAAAGGGAAGGGUAUUGCGCCCGACAUGGGGAUUGCGCACCGCUGCCUCUCGUGGGCGGCGCUCUGGGCUUUCCCUGGGCCAGCAUCGGUUCUUGCUGCAGGAGAAGGGGUUCUGGAACGUGGCUCUUCGGAGUGUUAUAGCCAGGGCCAGAUGCUGCGUGCGGGGACCGAGGACUGCGGCCGUGUAGGUCACGGAUGCUGGCAGAACGGCGCAACACCGCCCGUCUUGAAACACGGACCAAA